UAGGGUCGUCCCCCUCCACCCUUGAAUACCAUACUAUUGUUGCUUUGGCGGGCCGUGCGCCGCAAGGCGUGCCCCGGUCUCGGCCGGUGAGCGCCCGCCAGGGACUUAAAAACACUGUAAUUUUUGUCGUCUGAGUCUUAUACAAUCGUUAAAACUUUCAACAACGGAUCUCUUGGCUCUGGCAUCGAUGAAGAACGCAGCGAAAUGCGAUAAGUAAUGUGAAUUGCAGAAUUCAGUGAAUCAUCGAAUCUUUGAACGCACAUUGCGCCCUCUGGUAUUCCGGGGGGCAUGCCUGUUCGAGCGUCAUUAUGACCAAUCACGCAAGUGGUAUUGGGGCUUGCCGUGCGGCAUCCCUUAAAACAAGUGGCGGUGCCCUAGGCUCUCAGCGUAGUACACACGCCGCUGUUGAGCCCUAGGAGCACCCGCCAGGACCCCAACCUUUCUACGGUUGACCUCGGAUCAGGUAGG
rnacentral:rRNA from 1 species